rnacentral:rRNA from 1 species
CCCGCUGAACUUAAGCAUAUCAAUAAGCGCAGGAAAAGAAACCAACAGGGAUUGCCUCAGUAACGGCGAGUGAAGCGGCAACAGCUCAAAUUUGAAAUCUGGCCUCUUGGGGUCCGAGUUGUAAUUUGUAGAGGAUGUUUUGGGUACCGCCCCGGUUUAAAUUUCUUGGAACAGAAUGUCAGAGAGGGUGAGAAUCCCGUCUUGGACCGGCGGUAGGGCCUGUGUAAAACUCCCUCGACGAGUCGAGUUGUUUGGGAAUGCAGCUCAAAAUGGGUGGUAAAUUUCAUCUAAAGCUAAGUAUUGGCCAGAGACCGAUAGCGCACAAGUAGAGUGAUCGAAAGAUGAAAAGCACUUUGAAAAGAGAGUUAAACAGUAUGUGAAAUUGUUGAAAGGGAAGCGCUUGCAAUCAGACUUGAGCGCGGCGGUUCCCCCAGCCUUUUGGCUGGGCUACUCCGUCGUGUCCAGGCCAACAUCGGUUCUGAGGGUCGGUCAAAGGCUCUGGGAAUGUAUCUACCCACGGGUAGACUUAUAGACCAGGGUGUCAUGCGGCCUCUCGGGACCGAGGAACGCGCUUCGGCUCGGAUGUUGGCGUAAUGGUUGUCAGCGACCCGUCUUGAAACACGG